rnacentral:misc_RNA from 1 species
GAUGAAGAACGCAGCGAAAUGCGAUACGUAAUGUGAAUUGCAGAAUUCAGUGAAUCAUCGAAUCUUUGAACGCAUAUUGCGCUCUCUGGUAUUCCGGAGAGCAUGCUUGUUUGAGUAUCAGUAAACACCUCAACUUCCAUAUCUUUUUUGAAAUGGGAGUUGGACUUGAGUGAUCCAAACGCUUUUCCUCACCGAAAAGUGGCGGGUUACUUGAAAUGCAGGUGCAGCUGGACUUUUCUCUGAGCUAUACGCAUAUCUAUUUAGUCUGCCUAAAAAACAGAUUAUUACCUUUGCUGCAGCUAACAUAAAGGAGAUUAGUUCUUGUGCUGACUGAUGCAGGAUUCACAAAGACAGGCUUCAGCCGACUUUGUAAACUCGAUCUCAAAUCAAGUAAGACUACCCGCUGAACUUAAGCAUAUCAAUAAGCGGAGGA